AUUGAACGCUGGCGGCAGGCCUAACACAUGCAAGUCGAGCGGAUGAAGGGAGCUUGCUCCUGGAUUCAGCGGCGGACGGGUGAGUAAUGCCUAGGAAUCUGCCUGGUAGUGGGGGAUAACGUCCGGAAACGGGCGCUAAUACCGCAUACGUCCUGAGGGGGAAAUGGGGGGUUGUUGGGACUUCUGCCUAUCGUUGGACCGUAGGCCGGGUUGGUUGGUUGGUGGGGUAAGGGCCGACAAAGGCGAGGAUCGGUAACUGGCCUGAGAGGAUGAUCAGUCACACGGGAACUGAGACACGGUCCAGACUCCUACGGGAGGCAGCAGUGGGGAAUAUUGGACAAUGGGCGAAAGCCUGAUCCAGCCAGGCCGCGUGUGUGGAGAAGGUCUUCGGAUUGUAAAGCACCUUAAGUUGGGAGGAAGGGCAGUAAGUUAAUACCUUGCUGUUUUGACGUUACCAACAGAAUAAGCACCGGCUAACUUCGUG
rnacentral:rRNA from 1 species